GUAACGGCCCACCAAACCGACGAUAGGUAGCCGACCUCAGAGGGUGAUCGGCCACAUUGGAACUGAGACACGGUCCAAACUCCUACGGGAGGCAGCAGUGGGGAAUAUUGGGCAAUGGAGGCAACUCUGACCCAGCAACGCCGCGUGAGUGAUGAAGGUCUUCGGAUUGUAAAACUCUUUAAGUGGGGACGAAGAAAGUGACUGUACCCACAGAAUAAGCCUCGGCUAACUAC
rnacentral:rRNA from 1 species